AUAUAUAUAUAUAUAUAUAUGGAUCCAAUACUUUUGCAAAAGGUACUCCAGAUAUGACAGGUAAAUGUUUGCAUAUCUAGGAAAACUACAAGUAAACUUAAAGAUUUGUAUUUUUAGAAUUUUCCAACACAUGGUGUGAGAUUGAUUUCAGCAGAAGGAUGUAGUUCAGCAAUUUCAGGUAGAUCUACAUUGCAUAGUCAUCCUUACCAUUAAGUAUUCAUCCUUACCAUAAUUUUCCAGCAAAAACUUUUACACACACUGCUCAAAUUAACAGUUCAUGAGGAAGGGUUCAUUAAGAGCAGUGGCCAAUGGCUUUAUACUUGGUAUGAUCAAAAGAUAUGAAGUACUAUAUAGAAAAAUAUAGUUAUAACACUGCAACAAGAAGAUAUUCCAGGAGAUGGUGAUAACAUCUGGCUGAUCUUGCAUCUAGUGGCAAGCAGUGAUUGCCCUUUCAACAUUUCUCUUGAAACGCAAACACAAAGAUGUUUAUGUUGAACCGAAAGUGCUGUAUUCUUCCCUUUAUCUCGAAAAUGCUGUAUUCUUCCCUUUAUCUAUGUGGAGUGACAGGAGACUUCAGACAUGCCUAACCUUGAAUUUACCACCUUGCUGAUGUGCAUGUUUAAUUUUACCACCUUGCUGAUGUGCAUGUUUAAUAAUUAGGCUAUUAACAUUAGUCAGGGUAAUCAGUGAAUUACUUGUAGAAAUUCACUUAAAAAGAGUAAAAUAAUUUAACUUAUCAUAGGAAGUGAAACUUGGUGGAUACUAGGUGCUUCACCCCACCUCAUUUUAUUAUGUGUAUGUAGAACUUUGAAUACUGCUAAACAUGUAAAUAGCAUAAGUAUUGAGAAGAGGUACUCCGGAAGUGAAAGUUGAAAAUAGGUUGUUGAAUAGUUUUAAAAUUGUGUUUUCAGUUUGAUCAGCGAGUAGUUUUAGGGAAUGAAAUCUAAAUAACAGUAACGUCUUGCCUUGUAAGCUUUGCGAGUCUUGUAAAAGCACUGAGCUGAUCACUUAUGUAGAGGUACCGCAGCUGUAACUGAUAUGCCUAUCCAGGAAAUAAAGUUUGUGAAAUUA